AGAAAGCGUAAUAGCUCACUGGUCGAGUCGGCCUGCGCGGAAGAUGUAACGGGGCUAAACCAUGCACCGAAGCUGCGGCAGCGACACUGUGUGUUGUUGGGUAGGGGAGCGUUCUGUAAGCCUGUGAAGGUGUGCUGUGAGGCAUGCUGGAGGUAUCAGAAGUGCGAAUGCUGACAUAAGUAACGAUAAAGCGGGUGAAAAGCCCGCUCGCCGGAAGACCAAGGGUUCCUGUCCAACGUUAAUCGGGGCAGGGUGAGUCGACCCCUAAGGCGAGGCCGAAAGGCGUAGUCGAUGGGAAACAGGUUAAUAUUCCUGUACUUGGUGUUACUGCGAAGGGGGGACGGAGAAGGCUAUGUUGGCCGGGCGACGGUUGUCCCGGUUUAAGCGUGUAGGCUGGUUUUCCAGGCAAAUCCGGAAAAUCAAGGCUGAGGCGUGAUGACGAGGCACUACGGUGCUGAAGCAACAAAUGCCCUGCUUCCAGGAAAAGCCUCUAAGCAUCAGGUAACAUCAAAUCGUACCCCAAACCGACACAGGUGGUCAGGUAGAGAAUACCAAGGCGCUUGAGAGAACUCGGGUGAAGGAACUAGGCAAAAUGGUGCCGUAACUUCGGGAGAAGGCACGCUGAUAUGUAGGUGAAGUCCCUCGCGGAUGGAGCUGAAAUCAGUCGAAGAUACCAGCUGGCUGCAACUGUUUAUUAAAAACACAGCACUGUGCAAACACGAAAGUGGACGUAUACGGUGUGACGCCUGCCCGGUGCCGGAAGGUUAAUUGAUGGGGUCAGCGCAAGCGAAGCUCUUGAUCGAAGCCCCGGUAAACGGCGGCCGUAACUAUAACGGUCCUAAGGUAGCGAAAUUCCUUGUCGGGUAAGUUCCGACCUGCACGAAUGGCGUAAUGAUGGCCAGGCUGUCUCCACCCGAGACUCAGUGAAAUUGAACUCGCUGUGAAGAUGCAGUGUACCCGCGGCAAGACGGAAAGACCCCGUGAACCUUUACUAUAGCUUGACACUGAACAUUGAGCCUUGAUGUGUAGGAUAGGUGGGAGGCUUUGAAGUGUGGACGCCAGUCUGCAUGGAGCCGACCUUGAAAUACCACCCUUUAAUGUUUGAUGUUCUAACGUGGACCCGUGAUCCGGGUUGCGGACAGUGUCUGGUGGGUAGUUUGACUGGGGCGGUCUCCUCCUAAAGAGUAACGGAGGAGCACGAAGGUUGGCUAAUCCUGGUCGGACAUCAGGAGGUUAGUGCAAUGGCAUAAGCCAGCUUGACUGCGAGCGUGACGGCGCGAGCAGGUGCGAAAGCAGGUCAUAGUGAUCCGGUGGUUCUGAAUGGAAGGGCCAUCGCUCAACGGAUAAAAGGUACUCCGGGGAUAACAGGCUGAUACCGCCCAAGAGUUCAUAUCGACGGCGGUGUUUGGCACCUCGAUGUCGGCUCAUCACAUCCUGGGGCUGAAGUAGGUCCCAAGGGUAUGGCUGUUCGCCAUUUAAAGUGGUACGCGAGCUGGGUUUAGAACGUCGUGAGACAGUUCGGUCCCUAUCUGCCGUGGGCGCUGGAGAACUGAGGGGGGCUGCUCCUAGUACGAGAGGACCGGAGUGGACGCAUCACUGGUGUUCGGGUUGUCAUGCCAAUGGCACUGCCCGGUAGCUAAAUGCGGAAGAGAUAAGUGCUGAAAGCAUCUAAGCACGAAACUUGCCCCGAGAUGAGUUCUCCCUGACCCUUUAAGGGUCCUGAAGGAACGUUGAAGACGACGACGUUGAUAGGCCGGGUGUGUAAGCGCAGCGAUGCGUUGAGCUAACCGGUACUAAUGAACCGUGAGGCUUAACCUU
rnacentral:rRNA from 1 species